rnacentral:rRNA from 1 species
UACGUAGGGGGCAAGCGUUGUCCGGAAUUAUUGGGCGUAAAGAGCGCGUAGGCGGUCCGAUAAGUCGGCUGUGAAAGUCAGGGGCUCAACCCCUGAAUGCCGGCCGAUACUGUCGGGCUAGAGUCCGGAAGAGGCGAGUGGAAUUCCCCGGUGUAGCGGUGAAAUGCGCAGAUAUCGGGAGGAACACCAAUGGCGAAGGCAGCUCGCUGGGACGGUACUGACGCUGAGGCGCGAAAGCGUGGGGAGCAAACAGG